AGAGUUUGAUCAUGGCUCAGAUUGAACGCUGGCGGCAUGCUUUACACAUGCAAGUCGAACGGCAGCACAGGGAGCUUGCUCCCGGGUGGCGAGUGGCGCACGGGUGAGUAAUACAUCGGAACGUGUCCUGUUGUGGGGGAUAACUGCUCGAAAGGGUGGCUAAUACCGCAUGACACCUGAGGGUGAAAGCGGGGGAUCGCAAGACCUCGCGCAACUGGAGCGGCCGAUGCCCGAUUAGCUAGUUGGUGAGGUAAAGGCUCACCAAGGCGACGAUCGGUAGCUGGUCUGAGGGGACGACCAGCCACACUGGGACUGGGACACGGCCCAGGCUCCGUACGGGAGGCA
rnacentral:rRNA from 1 species